UACAGAGACUGCAAGCGUUAUUCGGAUUCACUGGGCGUAAAGCGUGCGCAGGCGGUUUUGUAAGCCAGGUGUGAAAUCCCCGGGCUCAACCUGGGAAUGGCAUUUGGGACUGCAAGGCUGGAGUGCGGCAGAGGAGACUGGAAUUCCUGGUGUAGCAGUGAAAUGCGUAGAUAUCAGGAGGAAUACCGAUGGCGAAGGCAGGUCUCUGGGCUGACACUGACGCUCAUGCACGAAGGCGUGGGGAGCAAACAGG
rnacentral:rRNA from 1 species